rnacentral:rRNA from 1 species
GAUGAACGCUAGCGGCAGGCCUAACACAUGCAAGUCGAGGGGUAGAACACUUCGGUGUUUGAGACCGGCGCACGGGUGCGUAACGCGUAUGCAAUCUACCUUAUACAGGGGAAUAGCCCAGAGAAAUUUGGAUUAAUGCCCCAUAGCAUUACGACUUGGCAUCAAGAUGUAAUUAAAGUUCCAACGGUAUAAGAUGAGCACGCGUCCCAUUAGUUAGUUGGUAAGGUAACGGCUUACCAAGACGAUGAUGGGUAGGGGUCCUGAGAGGGAGAUCCCCCACACUGGUACUGAGACACGGACCAGACUCCUACGGGAGGCAGCAGUGAGGAAUAUUGGUCAAUGGUCGCAAGACUGAACCAGCCAUGCCGCGUGCAGGAAGACGGUCCUAUGGAUUGUAAACUGCUUUUAUACAGGAAGAAACCCUCCCACGUGUGGGAGCUUGACGGUACUGUAGGAAUAAGGAUCGGCUAACUCCGUGCCAGCCGCCGCGGUAACAC